rnacentral:rRNA from 1 species
UGGGGAAUAUUGGGCAAUGGGCGAAAGCCUGACCCAGCGACGCCGCGUGAGGGAAGAAGGUCUUCGGAUUGUAAACCUCUUUCAGCAGGGAAGAAGGAAGUGACGGUACCUGCAGAAGAAGUCACGGCUAACUACGUGCCAGCAGCCGCGGUAAUACGUAGGUGGCGAGCGUUAUCCGGAAUUACUGGGUGUAAAGGGUGUGUAGGCGGGGAGGCAAGUCAGAUGUGAAAACCAGAAGCUCAACUUCUGGCCUGCAUUUGAAACUGUUUCUCUUGAGAGUGGGAGAGGUAAACGGAAUUCCUGGUGUAGUAGUGAAAUGCGUAGAUAUCAGGAGGAACACCGGUGGCGAAGGCGGUUUACUGGACCACAACUGACGCUGAGACACGAAAGCGUGGGGAGC